UUUUCUGUGGCUUAGUUGGUUACAGCGCCGCACUAGCAAUACAGAGUCGUGGGUUUGGAUCCCACCAAAACUA
rnacentral:tRNA from 1 species